CAGGCCCCUGGAGGCAUUGCAAGUGUGCCUGCUGUGUCACACAUGUGUCGGUAGGUGGCAGAGAGGAGAGGGACUGUGUCUAUGCUCAGUGUCGCCUGUGAACCUCUGAAAGAUUCCCUGGCAUUCCCU